UACGUAGGGGGCAAGCGUUGUCCGGAAUCAUUGGGCGUAAAGCGCGUGUAGGCGGCCCGGUAAGUCCGCUGUGAAGGUCCAGGGCUCAACCCUGGGAUGCCGGUGGAUACUGUCGGGCUCGAGUCCGGAAGAGGAGUGUGGAAUUCCUGGUGUAGCGGUGAAAUGCGCAGAUAUCAGGAGGAACACCAAUGGCGAAGGCAGCACUCUGGGACGUGACUGACGCUGAGACGCGAAAGCGUGGGGAGCAAACAGG
rnacentral:rRNA from 1 species